CACGUAGGGUGCGAGCGUUGUCCGGAAUUAUUGGGCGUAAAGAGCUCGUAGGCGGUGUGUCGCGUCGGCCGUGAAAACCUGCAGCUUAACUGUGGGCGUGCGGUCGAUACGGGCAUCACUGGAGUUCGGCAGGGGAGACUGGAAUUCCUGGUGUAGCGGUGAAAUGCGCAGAUAUCAGGAGGAACACCGGUGGCGAAGGCGGCAUCCUGGACCGACAUUGACGCUGAGGAGCGAAAGCUAGGGGAGCAAACGGG
rnacentral:rRNA from 1 species